rnacentral:rRNA from 1 species
UACGAAGGUCCCAAGCGUUAUCCGGAUUUAUUGGGUUUAAAGGGUGCGUAGGCGGGCUAUUAAGUCAGCGGUGAAAGCCUUCAGCUUAACUGAAGAAUUGCCAUUGAUACUGAUAGUCUUGAGUAUGAUUGAGGUGGGCGGAAUGUGUCAUGUAGCGGUGAAAUGCUUAGAUAUGACACAGAACACCAAUUGCGAAGGCAGCUCACUAAGCCAUAACUGACGCUGAUGCACGAAAGCGUGGGGAGCAAACAGG